AUUGAACGCUGGCGGCAGGCCUAACACAUGCAAGUCGAACGAGUGGCGGACGGGUGAGUAAUGUCUGGGAAACUGCCCGAUGGAGGGGGAUAACUACUGGAAACGGUAGCUAAUACCGCAUACCAUCGGAUGUGCCCAGAUGGGAUUAGCUAGUAGGUGGGGUAACGGCUCACCUAGGCGACGAUCCCUAGCUGGUCUGAGAGGAUGACAAGCAACACGGGAACGGAUACACGGACAAGAAUCCGACGGGAGGCAGCAGGGGGGAAUAUUGCACAAUGGGGGCAAGCCUGAUGAAGCGAUGCAGAGUGUGUGAAGAAGGCCUUCGGGUUGUAAAGAACUUUCAGCGAGGAGGCGUUACUCGAAGAAGAAGCACCGGCUAACUCCGUGCCAGCAGCCGCGGUAAUAC
rnacentral:rRNA from 1 species